rnacentral:rRNA from 1 species
AACGAACGCUGGCGGCAUGCCUAACACAUGCAAGUCGAACGAGACCUUCGGGUCUAGUGGCGCACGGGUGCGUAACGCGUGGGAACCUGCCCUUAGGUUCGGAAUAACUCCCCGAAAGGGGUGCUAAUACCGGAUAAUGUCUUCGGACCAAAGAUUUAUCGCCUUUGGAUGGGCCCGCGUUGGAUUAGCUAGUUGGUAGGGUAAAAGCCUACCAAGGCGACGAUCCAUAGCUGGUCUGAGAGGAUGAUCAGCCACACUGGGACUGAGACACGGCCCAGACUCCUACGGGAGGCAGCAGUGGGGGAUAUUGGACAAUGGGCGAAAGCCUGAUCCAGCAAUGCCGCGUGAGUGAUGAAGGCCUUAGGGUUGUAAAGCUCUUUUACCCGGGAUGAUAAUGACAGUACCGGGAGAAUAAGCUCCGGCUAACUCCGU